UGCCAGAUGAAGACGUGCUACCUGCUUCUCUGCCGUAGCCUACAUGAUUGAGGGUAGCCUACAGGUGUCUGCCCGUCCCCAGCCUGCGUCUCUCCCGGUCGGAGAAGGAGGAGUUGGAGUCAGGCCGCAAUAACCCUACGACUUAUACGAGGGAUCUACAGACUCAAUCAGUGUCUACUGGCUCACCUGUGACACCAGAGGCUCUGAACACCCUGUGGCUGGGACCAAGUAUCCUGUUAAGCUCCAUCUGGUGCACU